GGCGGCAUAGCCUAGUGAUAAGGUGGGGGACUACAAAUCCUUUUUCCUUAGUUCAAACCUGAGUGUCACUU
rnacentral:tRNA from 1 species